UCUUCCUUCUACAUUUACCUCUCUGCACCGAGGGAGGAGGGGCUGUUGUUGGAGACUGAAUGAAGGACCAUCAUCACAGACUGCAGUGAAAGACUUUAACCAUGACCAUUAUAACCAGGCUACUACUUAUUACUGUGUUCUUUACAAGUGUUGAAUGUAUGACUCUGACUGAGUCUGAACCAGCAGUUAAAAAGCCUGGAGAAUCCCACACACUGACCUGUACAGCCUCUGGGUUCAUUGGGCCAUUGAGCAGCCACUAUAUGGGCUGGAUCAGACAGGCUCCUGGGAAGGGACUGGAGUGGGUGGCCCAGAUCUGGUCUGAUAGCAAUGCCACAUGGUAUGCCAAUUCUGUUGAGGGAAGAUUCACCAUCUCCGGAGACAACAGCAAGAAGCAGCUGUAUUUACAGAUGAACAGCCUGACAGCUGAAGACACCGCUGUGUAUUACUGUGCCAGA